rnacentral:rRNA from 1 species
UGUGCUUGGGAACAUGCCUUGAGGUGGGGGACAACUGUUGGAAACGACUGCUAAUACCGCAUAAUGUCUACGGACCAAAGGGGGCUUCGGCUCUCGCCUUUAGAUUGGCCCAAGUGGGAUUAGCUAGUUGGUGAGGUAAUGGCUCACCAAGGCGACGAUCCCUAGCUGGUUUGAGAGGAUGAUCAGCCACACUGGGACUGAGACACGGCCCAGACUCCUACGGGAGGCAGCAGUGGGGAAUAUUGCACAAUGGGCGCAAGCCUGAUGCAGCCAUGCCGCGUGUGUGAAGAAGGCCUUCGGGUUGUAAAGCACUUUCAGUCAGGAGGAAAGGUUAGUAGUUAAUACCUGCUAGCUGUGACGUUACUGACAGAAGAAGCACCGGCUAACUCCGUGCCAGCAGCCGCGGUAAUACGGAGGGUGCGAGCGUUAAUCGGAAUUACUGGGCGUAAAGCGUACGCAGGCGGUUUGUUAAGCGAGAUGUGAAAGCCCCGGGCUCAACCUGGGAACUGCAUUUCGAACUGGCAAACUAGAGUGUGAUAGAGGGUGGUAGAAUUUCAGGUGUAGCGGUGAAAUGCGUAGAGAUCUGAAGGAAUACCGAUGGCGAAGGCAGCCACCUGGGUCAACACUGACGCUCAUGUACGAAAAGCGUGGGGGAGCAAAACAGGAUUAGAUACCCCUGG